CUAGUCUACCAUGACACAAAUCAAUAGAUUCAGCAAUAUAAGCAAAAUUGAAAGUACUAGCAUCAUCAGCAAUCUCUUGAGUGAUGUUCACUACAAAUAAACCCCAACUAAGGUAAUUGUUCCCAACGAAGUCUCCACCAUGAGAAAUAACAACUUUAUCAGAUUCAAAAACAAGUUUAAGACCUACCUUGUUGAGAAGCGCACCAGAAACUAAGUUUCUAUGAAGGGGGUACAUACAAAACAUUGUUCAAAGCUAAAGUUUUUCCAAAAGUUAUUUUAAGAAGAGUUUUUCCUUUACCCCUAACUCCAACUGUAGUGGAGUUACCCAUUUAGACAUACUCGCCAUCAGCAGAUUCCUCAAAGUCAUGGAACAUCUCUUUGUUGGCGCAAAGAUGCCUUGAAGCGCCUGUGUCCAGUAUCUGGUCAAUCUUGUUGGCCACCAUAUUUGUCUCAACAAUCACAGCAGCAAUGACAUCACCACCCUCAGUAAGGUUGGCUGGACUUGAGCUUUUCCUCCAGUCUUUGAGCUUUUUCCUUGUCUCUUGUUACAUUGAAAAGCCUUGUGACCAAUUUUGCCGCAGACAUGGCAAGGUCCUUUCGACUUUUGAAUAUGGUCCUCCGACUUAUUGAAGUAAUUUUGCUUCUUCACAUGUCCUUUUCUUCUAGCCUUUCUUCUGUUUUUCUUUAAACCUGCCUUUCAAAAAAGUACUAGAAGAUUCCACAAGGUUAGCUUUAGAAGAAUUAAGAGAGAGAGAGAGAGAUUCCAUCUUAUCCUUAAGCCAUUCAGACUCCUCAUCUUUGAGACGGUUUGCUUCCUCGGUCCUCGUGUGACUGAUUAGUUCUUCAAGAGUUAAGUUUUUUUCUUGUGUUUUAGUUGAUUCCUGAAUCGCUCCAGGAAGGUGGAAACUUUUCAGGAAAAACAUUAGCCUAAAGAAUCUCACACAUCUUCAUGCCCCCCUUCAAAACAUAAGUAUUUAAGUUCUCAUACUCGUGAACAUGUUCCAUGAUUGGCUUAUCAUUAACCAUCUGAAACUUGUUCCACUUUGCAACGACAUACUUCUUUUUUCCUGCAUCAUCAACACUAUAUUUCUUUUCCAACCUCUCCCAUAUGACUUUAGCAAAUUUAUAAUUUAUAAACAAAUCAAAGAGAGGGUUAGUCAUAUGGUUAACAAUAUGCCAUCUUAUUGUUUUAUUAUGCUUUUCAAAUUUCUUCUUAGCAUCAUCAUCAGCAACAGCAAUAUUAGCAACAUUAGAACUAUUAGCAACAAUAUCAGCAUGAGGAUCAUUAAACAAAAAACAUAAUCAACUUCUAAUUAUUCAAAGAAAAUUAAAAGUUUCUGGGACCAAUGCCUAUAAUUAUUUCCAUAUAAAGGCUCAAGUUUUAAGAGAUAAGGAAGUGUUUUGUUCAAAAUGGUGGCCAUUAGACAAUAUUAUAUAUAAAAUAUGUUUCAAAUUUUAGGGAAAAUGAGCAGAUAAUAUUUACUAAGAACAAGAAGGAACGAAGACCACAACUUAUCAAAAAUACUGUGUCGUGGCAAGCCACCACCUUGAAAGCGAUUUCGGCUCAACUGGGUGCAAAUCGUUAAGGUCGGUCGCUCCCCAAGGUUCCAUAGCACCUCCAAACACGUGCACUCGUGGCUGGAAGUUUAGAAUUGCACAAAAUAGUUGCCCGGAAAGAAGAGAAGAUGGAGGUAUUUUAUGUGUUGGAUAAUUCACAAAGAAGACUAAGAAGAAAGGAAUAAUUAGCUAGAUGAAUUCUUGGUUAAGAAUUGAGU
rnacentral:lncRNA from 1 species